rnacentral:rRNA from 1 species
UUUAGUUUUGUUGGGCAUUCGGUGGAUGCCUUGGCAUCAAGAGCUGAUGAAGGACGUUGCGGCCUGCGAUAUGCCUCGGGGAGCUGGCGAGCGAGCGUUAUUAUCCGAGGGUGUCCGAAUGGGGGAACCUAACCUGGGUUGUGCUGGGUUACCAUCAUCUGAACGUGUAUAGGGUGGUGGGGGGAACGCGGGGAAGUGAAACAUCUCAGUACCCGUAGGAGAAGAUAUUCCGUGAGUAGUGGCGAGCGAAAGCGGAGGAGGCUAAACCAGAUGCGUGUGAGAGGCGGCGGCCGUUGCGUGUUUGGUGUUGUGGGGCCAUGUUGGAUCCUUCUGCCGGGGGGUCGCGCAUGUUGUUGCUGGGAGUUGAACAGUCUGGGAUGGCUGACCGUAGAGCGUGAGAGUCGUGUAGGUGGACUGGUGUUGUGUGGUGUGGAUGUGGUGCCCGAGUAGUGCGGGACUCGUGAAAUCUCGUGUGAAUCUGCCAAGACCACUUGGUAAGCCUAAAUACUACUUGAUGACCGAUAGUGCAUAGUACCGUGAGGGAAUGGUGAAAAGUACCCCGGGAGGGGAGUGAAAUAGUACCUGAAACCGUGUGCCUGUAAGCCGUCAGAGCCUUGUGGGGUGAUGGCGUGCCUUUUGAAGAAUGAGCCUGCGAGUUAGUGAUACGUGGCGUGCUUAACCCGUGUGGGGUAUGCGUAGCGAAAGCGAGUCUGAAAGAUGGCGUUUGUCGCGUGUUCUAGACCCGAAGCGGGGUGAUCUACCCAUGGUCAGGUUGAAGCAGAGGUAAGACUGUGUGGAGGACCGAACCCACCAGGGUUGAAAACCUGGGGGAUGAACUGUGGGUAGGGGUGAAAGGCCAAUCAAACUCCGUGAUAGCUGGUUCUCCCCGAAAUGCAUUUAGGUGCAGCGUCGCGUGGUCCCUGGUGGAGGUAGAGCUACUGGAUGGCCGAUGGGCCCUGUGGGUUACUGACGUCAGCCAAACUCCGAAUGCCAUUAGGUGUAGCGUGGCAGUGAGACUGCGGGGGAUAAGCUUCGUAGUCGAGAGGGAAACAGCCCAGAUCAUCAGCUAAGGCCCCUAAGCGUACGCUAAGUGGGAAAGGAUGUGGAGUCGCGGUGACAACCAGGAGGUUGGCUUAGAAGCAGCCAUCCUUGAAAGAGUGCGUAAUAGCUCACUGGUCAAGUGGUUCUGCGCCGACAAUGUAGCGGGGCUCAAGCGUACCGCCGAAGCUGUGGCAACAACGCGUUUGUGCUGGCGCCAGGAACUGGAGUGCUGGUGUGUUGUUGGGUAGGGGAGCGUCCUGCACGAGGUGAAGCCUGGAGGUGACUUCUGGUGGAUUGUGUGGGAGUGAGAAUGCAGGCAUGAGUAACGAAUCUGCGGUGAGAAUCCGCAGCGCCGAUUGACUAAGGGUUCCAGGGCUAGGUUUAUCCGCCCUGGGUUAGUCGGGUCCUAAGGCGAGGCCGACAGGCGUAGUCGAUGGACAACCAGUUGAUAUUCUGGUACCGCGUUGUGACCGCCCAUGCUGAAGUCAUUGUGCUAACCAAUUUGCCCGCCACACACUGGGCCUUCGGGUUUGGUGGUGUGUGUGGGUCUUGGGGUCCCGGUGAUUGUAGGCAAGCGUGUUAACAGGGGUGACGCAGACAGGUAGCUGCAGUGCGCCGAUGGUUGUGCGUAUUUAAGGUUGUGGCCCGUCCCUCAGGUAAAUCCGGGGGCAUUAGGGGUGAGAACUGAUGAGGGUGACACGGUUGUGUUGUCUUGUGGUGAUCCUAUGCUGCCAAGAAAAGCCUCGACGUGAGGGCAUGACGCGCCCGUACCCUAAACCGACUCAGGUGGUCAGGUAGAGUAUACCGAGGCGUUCGAGUGAAUCGUGGUUAAGGAACUCGGCAAAAUUCCUCCGUAACUUCGGGAUAAGGAGGACCCCGUGGCCUCUCCGCACCGUUGCGUGUGGGUGGGGUUGUGGGGUCGCAGAGAAUAGGGAGAAGCGACUGUUUAUCAAAAACACAGGUGCGUGCGAAGCCGUAAGGCGAUGUAUACGCACUGACGCCUGCCCGGUGCUGGAAGGUUAAGAGGAACCGUUAACACCCUCUUGGGGUGUGAAGCGGUGAAUUUAAGCCCCAGUAAACGGCGGUGGUAACUAUAACCAUCCUAAGGUAGCGAAAUUCCUUGUCGGGUAAGUUCCGACCUGCACGAAUGG